GAUGAACGCUGGCGGCGUGCCUAAUACAUGCCAGUCGAGCGAACAGAUGAGGAGCUUGCUCCUCUGACGUUAGCGGCGGACGGGUGAGUAACACGUGGAUAACCUACCUAUAAGACUGGGAUAACUUCGGGAAACCGGAGCUAAUACCGGAUAAUAUAUUGAACCGCAUGGUUCAAUAGUGAAAGACGGUUUUGCUGUCACUUAUAGAUGGAUCCGCGCCGCAUUAGCUAGUUGGUAAGGUAACGGCUUACCAAGGCAACGAUGCGUAGCCGACCUGAGAGGGUGAUCCGCCACACUGGAACUGAGACAAGGUCCAGACUCCUACGGGAGGCAGCAGUAGGGAAUCUUCCGCAAUGGGCGAAAGCCUGACGGAGCAACGCCGCGUGAGUGAUGAAGGUCUUCGGAUCGUAAAACUCUGUUAUUAGGGAAGAACAAAUGUGUAAGUAACUAUGCACGUCUUGACGGUACCUAAUCAGAAAGCCACGGCUAACUACGUG
rnacentral:rRNA from 1 species